UGUCCAGGGGCGGGAAUCGAACCCACACCCUUCUGCUCACCUGCCCGGUAAGCAGAAGGGUGUGGGUUCGAUUCCCGCCCCUGGAC